GAGCCUCAAACAGACAUAAAAUUCCCGAUUAACCGAUUAACAUUCAUCGAAAAAAAAUAUUUUUCUCAGAUAAUCGAAGAAAAACUUCAGCGAAAGCUUCAUCAAGCAUCGAUAACACAUAACAGGGAAGGAUCGGAAGAUUUCCCCGCUCUGAUACCAUGAAAACAUGGAGAUUUGGAGAAGAAAACCAGAGAAGAUGAAGAUGAACAGUGAGAAGUAGAGAGAGAUGAGAAGCUUCUGGAGGAAACCCGAGAAGCAAA
rnacentral:lncRNA from 1 species